UUAAGUUCAACAAAUAAUCUCACCCGAUUUGAGAUCAAGGUUUCAUAAAUCGAAAAACUUCCCACCCCGUGAAGGGCGAUCGGCUCGAACGAUGUCCCUGAUGGGACGGUUAGAAGCAGGUCCUUCCCGAGCAAAACCCAAGACGUAGAAACAUCUUAUCAACGUCGAGGAUCUAGCAAAGCGGAUCCCACUGAUACAUU
rnacentral:misc_RNA from 1 species